GGUGAGUUGGCCGAGCGGCUGAAGGCACUCGCCUGCUAAGCGAGUAUAGGGGCUAAAACUUCUAUCGAGAGUUCGAAUCUCUCACUCACCGCCA
rnacentral:tRNA from 1 species